rnacentral:lncRNA from 1 species
CCUAUCAAAGUUUUCUUCUUUUUUUUUUUUUUUUUUUUUUUUUUCUCAUCCUUUAAGUCAAUCAGAAUUAAAAUAUACAUAUAAAAAAACAGAAAAAAAAAAAUAAUGAAAAAAAAAAAAAAAAAACCAAAAAACUUUACCAAACAAUCAGGUCGAGUCACUGGGUAUCCACGCGGGUUACGUAGGUUCAAGAUGCAAUUCCUUUGGUGCAAAAACGGCAUCGUUUGGUUUCCAUUUCCAAAAUCGGCAUCUUUUUCCUUAUUUUCCCUCGUCUCUGUUAAGCUUCUCGGCUUUCAAACUCAGCCAAAAUAUCAAUAGCCUAACCCAGAAACUAGCGUUUGCCAAGUCGUCUGCUAUUCGCCACCACCACUGGCCGCCAGGGAUUUCUUUUGUCUUUCACACCGCAACGCUGAAGCCAAAAAGAAAAAACCAUAACCCAGAUCACCGUCUUUACGAUUCCCGCCAUCAAUCGCCAACACCCAAAGCCCAAAAGAACCUUUUCAAUUCCUCCCAACCUCCGCUUCCUCUUUACCAAAUUAGAUUUAUGAGAAAUUUUCACCAGAAACUCAAAAUAAUAUUGCAAUUCCCACAAUUCAAAACACCUUCGAUUGCUGCCCAGCCUUCUUCCUUCACUAACGAUGCAGUUCCUCACUUUCGCUGCUUUGCUUGAACCCUAGAAGAGAACCUAGAAACUCCCAAAAAAUUUCAAACAAAACCUUCAGAAAAAUCCCUUUUAUUGCCCACUUCUUGCUUUUUGCGAUUUUGUGUGGAUUGCUGCUAUUUUCUGAUGAUUGUGUUUACGAUGGACUGCGACUUUUCUCUGUGGGUUUGGUCAAUUGUGGCUGCUGGGUCUGCUUCUUUUAAGCUCAAAUUUUGGAUUUUUGUUCUGCCUUUUCAAUUUUUUAAAAUCUAUGUUUGCUUUGUUUCUUUCCUCUGUUCCAAAUUUGGUGGGUAGGAGUUUCUGGAUUGGGGUCCCAAUGUGCUUGAUUGAGGCUGUGUGUGCUGACUCUUUUUAGAUUCUUUACUGCUGGAAAUUAGUUCUUGAUUCUAUCUGUACUUUGAUUUACUUGUAGGCUUUUCGGAAUUGCCCACUUUAUUAUUGCUCGGGACGACUCAGUGUUGGUUUUUUAAUUUGACUGUUGAUUGUAUGCUGUUGAUUACCAAUUGCUGCCCUCAGUUCCUUGAUCUGUUAAUUAACCGUUCUCGCUUAAUUGCAUUCUUCGAUUCUGCAAUUUUGCUUCUGUCUUGCUAUAUUACUUCUUGGUUUAUGCUUCUGAAACAACAAACUUUUGCUGCCAAUUGCCUCUGUAUUGAUUGUGAAUUCCUUUGAGGCCCCCUUUAAUCGUAGAUUCAAGUUCUUAUAUAGUGAUUGAAAUCUCAAUUUAAUUCAGAAAAUUUUAAUUCCAUCAAAUUUAGAAAAAUUCUUCAAGAUUCAAUUUUCUAUAAUCUUCUCUUUUUUCAAUGAAUAGAGGUUCAGUCUUUUUCCACAAGACACCUACG